GAUGAACGCUGGCGGCGUGCCUAAUACAUGCAAGUCGAGCGAACGGACGAGAAGCUUGCUUCUCUGAUGUUAGCGGCGGACGGGUGAGUAACACGUGGAUAACCUACCUAUAAGACUGGGAUAACUUCGGGAAACCGGAGCUAAUACCGGAUAAUAUUUUGAACCGCAUGGUUCAAUAGUGAAAGACGGUCUUGCUGUCACUUAUAGAUGGAUCCGCGCUGCAUUAGCUAGUUGGUAAGGUAACGGCUUACCAAGGCAACGAUGCAUAGCCGACCUGAGAGGGUGAUCGGCCACACUGGAACUGAGACACGGUCCAGACUCCUACGGGAGGCAGCAGUAGGGAAUCUUCCGCAAUGGGCGAAAGCCUGACGGAGCAACGCCGCGUGAGUGAUGAAGGUCUUCGGAUAGUAAAACUCUGUUAUUAGGGAAGAACAUAUGUGUAAGUAACUGUGCACAUCUUGACGGUACCUAAUCAGAAAGCCACGGCUAACUACGUG
rnacentral:rRNA from 1 species